rnacentral:lncRNA from 1 species
UGGAGACUGCAGGAACCCCAGGGGAGCAGAAUCCGGAUUUCCUUCUCUCAUGCUUCGGAAAGGCCUUCUUUGGGGGAAGUAGUGGGAGCAGCUUCAGCUGUGUAGCCAAGCAAUGGAGCCUCGCCUGGCAAAGAGGCAGACGGGGUUCCCAGGCUUCUCUUCACCAGGGCAAAGUGGUUUGCAGGACCUGGCAAACUGCCCAGAGGGAGGUGGCUGUGGAGCCAGACUUCUGCAUCUCUCAGACGUCACCAGAGAAGUUUCUCUGUGCGGUGGACAAUGGCUGAUGAAGACUCACAACUGGUCAAGGGCAGAGAAGUGUCAGUGCAGUGUGCAGCCACAAAUAUUCAAGGAUCGUUUGAGAAGAAGAGGUGGGAAGAUUCCAGGAGCCGGAGAAAUGACUGGGCGCUUCAUGAACUCACAAAACCACAGCUGUGACUGCAUGCGCAGAAUCAAGCCAGACAGCAUUCCAGCUGGACACAGGGAGGGGCUUAUGAGCCCGGCCACUGAGGGAGGCACUAUUGACAGUUGGUGGCUUCUGAGGGCAGAAGAGUCAGUUUUCUUGAGGAUGUGACCCUGGUUUGAGCCAUCCUCCAGGGGAUGGCACCACACCAGUGAGUAUGCAGACUGCAUAUAUUGGACACAUUGGAUUAUUGAAAAACAAAUAAAACAACAACAAAUCCAAAAAAAACCAGAAGACACGAAGUUGGAAAAGCAGAGAGGAUAGGGAGUGGGGGGUAAAUCUGAAAGAAGAUGGGGGAAGAAUCGGGGUGAAUAUGAUCAGCGUAAUCCUAUGUCAUUCUCAAAGAAUUAAUAAAAUAUAUUAAAAU